AGGAGAAAAAGAGAUUUACGGUUUGAUAAUCAAUUAAAUAUCUCAAUUCUAAGGACUAUAAACAAGCUUCUUUUGCGAACUGCUUCUAUAAACAAGCUUCUCGCCCUGCUGAUUAGUAUCUUUCUCAAUUCUCAUGUUCUAUGUUUGAUCAAAUCCUUAUCGCUAAGCGAGAGCUAGAGACACACUAAGGCCAUGUCCAUAGCUCGAGUUUACGCCGACGUCAACGUUCACCGUCCUAGAGAUUACUGGGAUUACGAGUCUGUCGUCGUUCAGUGGGGUGAUCAAGAUGACUAUGAGGUGGUUCGAAAGGUUGGUAGGGGAAAAUACAGUGAGGUUUUUGAAGGUAUUUGUGUAAAAAACAGUGAGAGAUGCAUAAUUAAGAUACUCAAGCCUGUCAAGAAAAAGAAGAUAAAGAGGGAGAUAAAAAUUCUACAGAAUCUUUGUGGAGGUCCCAAUAUUGUGAAAUUGCUUGAUGUUGUCAGAGAUCAGCACUCAAACACUCCCAGCUUGAUUUUUGAAUAUGUUAACAGUACAGAUUUUAAAAUUUUUUACCCAACAUUGACAGAUUAUGACAUUCGCUACUAUAUAUAUGAGCUUCUCAAGGCACUAGAUUAUUGCCAUUCACAAGGCAUAAUGCAUAGAGAUGUGAAACCUCACAAUGUAAUGAUUGACCAUGAGUUGCGAAAACUACGCCUGAUUGACUGGGGACUUGCAGAAUUCUACCAUCCUGGCAAAGAAUAUAAUGUCAGGGUAGCUUCAAGGUACUUUAAGGGGCCUGAACUCCUUGUUGAUUUACAAGACUAUGAUUAUUCUUUAGAUAUGUGGAGUCUUGGCUGUAUGUUUGCUGGAAUGAUUUUUCGGAAGGAGCCAUUUUUUUUUGGUCGUGACAAUCAAGACCAGCUUGUCAAAAUUGCUAAGGUUCUUGGUACAGAUGAGUUAAAUGCAUAUUUGAACAAGUAUCGCUUAGAGCUAGAUCGUCAUCUUGAAGCUCUUGUUGGCAGACACAGCAGGAAACCCUGGUCAAGAUUUGUCAAUGCUGAUAAUCGGCAUCUGGUUUCUCCAGAGGCUACUGAUUUUCUUGAUAAGCUUCUUCGUUAUGAUCAUCAGGACAGACUUACAGCUAGAGAAGCAAUGAAUCAUCCAUACUUCUUUCAAGUCAGAAGUGCAGAAAAUAGCAGAAUGCGGACACAGUAAACAUCAUCGACUAGGGACCAGAUAUAUAUUUCACUUUAGCCAGCUGUUCGCGUUUUUGGCAGGUUAGAGGACUCGUACUCUGAAUUCUAGAAUAAAGCAGAGCCAGAUCACAGAGACAAAAGGAGGGUAAAUUAGAAGCAUUCUUUUUUUGUCAAUAAAUUAGAAGCAAAUCAAGCGUAGUAAAGAAACAUAUUUCACAUACAUAACAAUAACUAGCCAAGAGAGUUUGGAUGGACUGCUUUAUCAUAUAAGUGGGUUCUUGGAACCCAUCUCUACAAAUUCUUAUUAUUCCCCCGUCAUCA